AUUGAACGCUGGCGGCAGGCCUAACACAUGCAAGUCGAACGGUAACAGAAAGCAGCUUGCUGCUUUGCUGACGAGUGGCGGACGGGUGAGUAAUGUCUGGGAAACUGCCUGAUGGAGGGGGAUAACUACUGGAAACGGUAGCUAAUACCGCAUAACGUCGCAAGACCAAAGAGGGGGACCUUCGGGCCUCUUGCCAUCGGAUGUGCCCAGAUGGGAUGAGCUAGUAGGUGGGGUAACGGCUCACCUAGGCGACGAUCCCUAGCUGGUCUGAGAGGAUGACCCGCCACGCUGGAGCUGGGACACGGACUAGACCCCAACGGGGGGCAGGAGUGGGGAAUAUUGCACAAGGGGCGCAAGCUUGAUACAGGCAUGCCGCGUGUAUGAAGAAGGCCUUCGGGUUGUAAAGUACUUUCGGGGGGGAGGAAGGGAGUAAAGUUAAUACCUUUGCUCAUUGACGUUACGCGCAGAAGAAGCACCGGAUAUCUCCG
rnacentral:rRNA from 1 species